AUUUUUGGAAAAUGACGCUAUCAGCGGCAUGUUUCCGAUACCAUUGACCAGAACUUACGGAAGUCGAUUAUUGCCUCCGCCUACCGCACUCGGUUUCAUAUUUACUAUUUUACAUACUAACUGGAAUCUGCUUGUAUUUCGCUACACUCGAACAAAGUAUUGUAGUCGGACGGGAACCAGUUUACAUACUUUAUUUUAUUUACAAAAAAGAUAUCUUGACCUGUCCAUAUGUUUUUUGUUAUUAAAUGAUAUUUGGAGCUAUCCCUUUGUUAUAUUUUUCAUAUUUAUUUGAGCUUUCACUUUUAUGCACAUGUCUUACAAUCGCAAACAAUCGGUAUGUAUACAUGAUAAAUAGAUCCGUUUUGUUAUGGUGUUGGACUUUUUACCCUCCAAUGAUCAGCAAUCGCUAGACAAAAUAUUUCUCCUAAAUAAUGUCAGCCUUUCAUGCCAUUUCAACUUUACAAUCAUUAAAAAAAGGUGAAAAUCGGAAUCAUUUUGAUAUCCAUUGGAUAGAAACUGGUCUUUAUCCAGAUUUACGGAGAUUUUAAAAAUCGGAAAUUAGUAAUACGGUUAUACCCACGCGGUGCGUAUGAAUCUUUGUUUACAAAAUAGGAUUUCGGAACGUCUCUAGUUUUUAGAUCGUAAGUCACUAUAAACUCAAACUGAAAGUAAACAGUUGUUUGUAAGACGCAGGUUUACUCACCAUAAACAAGCUGAAACGUUCAGUAUGGCAUAUAUUUUAGGUUACAGACAGUCCCAUUCAUUUAAAAAGCAUUUUGAAAGUAGACGAUGGGAUUAUUUCAGGUUUGGGGAACGAGUAAAUUAUCACAAAGUUCAUUUCUUGACGACCUCAUAAUUUUAUCAUGUCGAUGGUACAAAUCGAUUUUUAAAGGCAGUGCUUUAAUGCCUUUCUAGUUGCCGGGUUAAUCCUUCCUUCCGCGAUAUCCAACUUAUCUACGUGGGGGGUCAUUAGACUCCAAGUAGAUCCGGAAAUGUUGAAUUCUCUCCUCUUCUUAUUGCGAUAUAAAAUGUUUUUUGUUUCAUUUCAUUUACAUUGGGAAAUAGAGAAACGAUCAUUGUGUUUUGUUAGUUUUAAAAACUUUUGAUAUAUUAGUAUUUUGCAUUAUAAGCAGUCAACCGAUUGACAAACUAGAAUUAUUUGAAUUCCGUGUGGAAAGAGCUCGGGUUAAUUUCGAGUGUUAUCUGCAAUCUAGAUGUUUAUAAAUCAUUUCAGUCGUUGAUAUAAUAAUUAAAGGUCGACUGAACAUGAAUUAUAUUAUACAAUUUAAAGCGCAUUUCUGUUUAUGCACGUGAACCCGUCUAACGUUAUUUUCGCAGUUAUAUAAAGUAGCAAAUUAUCGUUCCUGAAUAGGUGGCGCCGUGGUAGCGGAUCCUGUUCCUCUUCUUCCGGUUUCUGCACUGUGCAACUAUUUCAGUUAUAUUUUUAAUUAACGAUGCCAAGUACUUGUUGUUGUGUACCUGGAUGUCAUUUAAGAGGAGGACAUGCAUUUCCAAAUGACUUAAAAAGAAGGAAAAGUUGGAUCAACGCCAUGGCCCAUACGCAGAUUGGACGUGAACACGAUGAUAUCGUGGAGUCCAUCUCAAUCAGCUGUUGUUUGCAAGGCACGUUUUACUGAAAAAAGACUACGUGCAGGAAACUAUUCAUGGGCGCAAACCCACCAUACAGAGACUUAAGUCUACUGCAAUUCCCAGCCUAUUUUCCUGGACCAAGCAAGAGACUGAAUCGUCCGCAAAAAGAAAAAUCAGGGCAGUUUCCUGUGAAAACAAAAGAACUAAACUUGAUGAAUAUUGUAGUAGAAAUCUAGAGGAAAGUUUUGAUUGUAAAGUUGGUUUUCCUGAAGAAGUCAUUCAUACUGCAGAAAGGAUUUAUGACUGUCCACCACCAACUGCCGAGCUAAUGUUGAGCUUUACAGAUGGAAUUACGCAAACACCAUCAAUGCCUAUGUUUUCAGCAGAGAAUUUUGAAAUGAAGACAUGUGACACAGCCAUGCAUUUUUAUACCGGUUUAGAGUUGUAUACUAAAUUUUUAUUUGUUUUGACCACACUUGGUCCAGCAGCACAUUGUUUGAGAUACAUAUAUUUUCAAAUUGAUAGGGUGUCAGUUGAAAAUCAGUUUUUUUAUGACUUUGAUGAAAUUGAGGCAUCAUACAACCAACUUUGAACUGUCUAGAUUCUAGAUUGAAUCUAGUGUUAAGAAUAUUGUGUAUACAUGGAUUGUUUUUAUGUCUAAACAGUGGUGUGAGGCUAACACUUGGCCAUCUAGUGGUUUAGUCAGGUAUUUUUCACCAUCCAACUUCAAAUUAAAGUUUCCUACAACUUGGAUUAUUAUUGACGGCACAGAAUAUCCCGUGAUAAAACCUAAAGCUCCUAGAGCUCAGGCAACCUUUUCAUCAAAUAAAAACAGAAACACUGAAAAUUCUUGAAUAUUCGACACCUGGUGGUUUAGUCAACUAUGUCUCUAUGUCACAUAGAGCGAAUUAUUGGACUUGGCAAAACAUACAAAAUUCUAAUAAAUCCUAUGAAUGGAACUGAAACAAAACUUUCAUCUGAAAUAACAUUUAGUUGUUUUAUGUUGUGUAAUUUUAGAACUUGUAUUGUGCCAAAGGAUGCAUAAAUAAAAGUGACGCAAUGAA